CGGGGCGGGCCCGACUAUUUUAGCGUUGCGAUUGUGAUCCAGCCAAGCCAAAUAUAGUCGUAGACAGGUAUUUUUAGCCGUAAAGUGUGUCCCCGUUUUUAUUCGGUAAGGGAGACCUGGCGAUAUGGGAUACAGUCUGAAAGGAGGCACGACCCCCCCCCCAAAAAAUCAGCGCACUCAGUGUAUUCAGCACUGGGGUAGGUUUACAGUCAGCUGAUAUGCCAUCAUACCCAAAGAGAAACAACUGUAGGAGCUGUCGAGAGUAAAUCUCACAGGUUUUCCCUGGUCGGGGACACGGCUGGAAAUGAGGGGAGUUAAAAGAUCAUAGACUCGGAGAUAAAUAUGCUUCGGCUCGUCGUGUUCCAGGUUUGUGAAUGUGAUGGCUUCCAGCUUCGCAGUGCUUCUUCAUCACCAGCUGCGCACGCACUGAGGAGUUUAGAGCUGAGAUGACCGGCACUGUGUAGACUUCACUACCGCACAGGAUAGUCUCAAAGUCAAGGCAGAAACUUGCAGGCUACGAUGUUCAGAAAGACCUGUGUAAGACUUGUGGGUAACAGUGUACGCACGCAUUCAUUUGUAGGCUAAUGGGGGAACCCCAGUCCUCUGCUGCACGUUCAAGCAGAGCCCAACUGGAUGGCCAGUGUGUUUCACCUGGUCUUGCACUUCCUGGCUGGUCAGGGUAUCAGCUGCCUCGGCUGUGACCUCAUCGCAGUGACGUGUAAUCCAGAUUAACCUGCUCUCGUAUUCUGCCAGACAUGGAAGUGAUUAGAGAUUAUGACCAUGUCCUUUUAAUAGAAUUGGACGUGUGGGUACUCAACUACGUCCACCGACGUUGCGUGUCAGGACACACUGAAGAAAGUAAGCAAAGUACCAGACAACAAAAACAAACUUUUUGUCUUCACUGCUGCAAGGAAUGGUGA